rnacentral:rRNA from 1 species
AUUGAACGCUGGCGGCAGGCCUAACACAUGCAAGUCGAACGGUAGCACAGAGAGCUUGCUCUCGGGUGACGAGUGGCGGACGGGUGAGUAAUGUCGGGGAAACUGCCCGAUGGAGGGGGAUAACUACUGGAAACGGAAGCUAAUACCGCAGAAUGUCGCAAGACCAAAGAGGGGGACCAUGGGGCCUCUUGCCAUCAGAGGUGCCCAGAUGGGAUUAGCUAGUUGGUGAGGUAAUGGCUCACCAAGGCGACGAUCCCUAGCUGGUCUGAGAGGAUGACCAGCCACCCUGGAACUGAGACACGGUCCAGACUCCUGCGGGAGGCAGCAGUGGGGACUCUUGCACAAUGGACGCAAGCCUGAUGCAGCCCUGCCGCGUGUAUGCAGAAGGCCUUCGGGUUGUAAAGUACUUUCAGCGGGGAGGACGGCAAUGCGGUUAAUAACCGUGUUGAUUGACGUUACCCGCAGAAGAAGCACCGGCUAACUCCGUG